rnacentral:rRNA from 1 species
UACGUAGGGGGCAAGCGUUGUCCGGAAUCAUUGGGCGUAAAGCGCGUGUAGGCGGCCAGAAAAGUCCGCUGUGAAAACUCGAGGCUCAACUUCGAGCUGUCGGUGGAAACUUUCUGGCUAGAGUCCGGAAGAGGAGAAUGGAAUUCCUGGUGUAGCGGUGAAAUGCGCAGAUAUCAGGAGGAAUACCGAUGGCGAAGGCAGGUCUCUGGGCUGACACUGACGCUCAUGCACGAAAGCGUGGGGAGCAAACAGG